GACAGAGGAUGCAAGCGUUAUCCGGAAUCACUGGGCGUAAAGCGUCUGUAGGUGGUUUAAUAAGUCAACUGUUAAAUCUUGAGGCUCAACUUCAAAAUCGCAGUCGAAACUAUUAGACUAGAGUAUAGUAGGGGUAAAGGGAAUUUCCAGUGGAGCGGUGAAAUGCGUAGAGAUUGGAAAGAACACCAAUGGCGAAAGCACUUUACUGGGCUAUCACUGACACUGAGAGACGAAAGCUAGGGUAGCAAAUGGG
rnacentral:rRNA from 1 species